rnacentral:rRNA from 1 species
UACAGAGGUCUCAAGCGUUGUUCGGAUUCAUUGGGCGUAAAGGGUGCGUAGGCGGCGCGGUAAGUCGGGUGUGAAAUCUCGGGGCUUAACUCCGAAACUGCAUUCGAUACUGCCGUGCUUGAGGACUGGAGAGGAGACUGGAAUUUACGGUGUAGAGGUGAAAUGCGUAGAUAUCGUAAGGAACACCAGUGGCGAAGGCGGCGACCUGGUUCAAUACUGACGCUGAGGUGCGAAAGCGUGGGGAGCAAACAGG